UAUAGGAGGCUCCCGGCAAUCUUAGCCUGAAGCCAUGAAGGAAGACACAGUGUGAAGGCAAGUACAGGCUGUCCUCUGGCAGCUGAGGAUCAGGACAGGAUGUGGAGUGAACAUCCAUAUCAAAGCUUUAUUGCUUGGAUUGGAAAAAAAAUUCCUAUCUGUAGGUCAGCCUUAAAAUACACCAUUUCAUAAAAUAUUGUCUUUCCCAUAUUUUGAGCCCAUGCAAUUUGUGCUACCUGAGGGGACAGUAUUGUGUCCUUGAUUUGGUGAGAUUAGUAGCUUUCUUAUCUUAUUGACAGCUACAGAACUCAGAAACAGAAGCUGCAUAUUAAGCAAAUUUAUAUCUUUCUUGUUAUAUUAUUGUGUAUAAGAAAUAGAGAUGGCCGGGUGCGGUGGCUCACGCCUGUAAUGUCAGCAUUUUGGGAGGCGGAGGCAGACGGAUCACAAGGUCAGGAGUUUGAGACCAGCCUGGCCAACAUGGUGAAACCCUGUCUCUACUAAAAAUACAAAAGGCAAUAAAAGGUUCUAUGUGGACUUUGAAGGUCGUCUCUAUCAAUUUGAGGUUGGGAAGAACAGUUUUGUUGACAUCCUUUAGCUGUGUUACAAGUACAAUUUUGUUUUUUACUCAGGCAAAAGAAAAUGUGUGUGUGUGUUAUAUACAGUCAGCCCUCUUUAUCUGUGGGUCCUGCAUCCUUGCUUUCUACCAACCUCAGAUCAAAAAAUAUUCCAGAAAAAAAAGGAUGGUUGCAUCUGUACUGAGGCACCAUGGCCCGGCACUGCCACGUUUUCCAAGGAACCUGCCGGAGCUUCUGCGGAAGCUGCUCCUCGGGCGAUGGAGUCCCUUCGCUGGUAGGCCCUUCUUCAGUCACCACAGGAUGCCUGCCAUUCAUGAACAGGAAGGAGAGGACGGGCUUUGAAUAAAAAACAGGAUCCAGGAAAUAUUUGUGAGGCCAUUUGGACUUCAGUGUGAAAUGGUGUUAAAAGAUGGAAGUCAUUUAUUCAAGAAGUAAACAUCUGCCACCUGGACUGUGCUCAGACAUUUCAUUGAUUUUGUUUAAUAAACAUUUUCUGGCUUUGGGAGGUGUCUCUCUUGGUAGAACACAGUGUCAAAGAUGGACAAGGUGGACACAUAGUCCAUUAUUUGGUAUUGUUUGUGUAUGGGAGCAGACCACAAAUUAAUGUUUGGAGAACAAUUUUGUCAUAACACACUGUUGAGGCUCAGUUGUACAGAACUGGAAAAGUCUUUCAGCUUGGCACAUGUCCUGAUUCAGCCUUUGUUUAACAUAUAUUCCAAUCCGGAUUCUAUCUUCACUGGCUACAAAGACCACCUGAUACGUGCACCACGACACAGGAGCUGCUGGAGAGGGGGUAGUGUUAUCACCUCAAACUCACGGCCAUAUUUUUCAAAAGCCAGCUUAGAGAGAGGUGUACUGAUAGCUGCAUAGAGAACAUGCAGUCCAUCCAUUCUUCCCAGUGAUGUACAUUUCUCAAUCAGUAACCACGUGGUAUACCAGCCUUGAGUGUCACAUCUCCCAACCAUACCAAAUGGAUCACCUAACUGGAGGUGGGGGGGGGGGCCCUCAGAAAUGAGAUUUCGUAUUUACUGUAAAAUUGCAUUAUUUUUCUUUUGAGGUGGAGUCUCACUCUGUUGCCUGGGCUGGAGUGCAAUGGUGUGAUCACUGCUCACUGCAACCUCCGCCUCCUGGGUUCAAGCAGUUCUCCUGCCUCAGCCUCCCAAGUAGCUGCAAUUACAGGCGCAUGCCACCACUCCCAGCAAAUUUUUAUAUUUUUAGUGGAGACAGGGUUUCACCAUGUUGACCAGGCUGGUGUCAAACUCCUCACCUCAGGUGAUCUGCCCACCUUGGCCUCCCAAAGUUCUGGGAUUAAAGGUACGAGCCACCGCAACUGGCUGAGAAUCUUUUUAUUUGCUGAUUUGUCUGUUGUGUAUUUUCUUUGUUCAGAUGUCUCUUCAGAUCUUUUUCUCACUUUUAAAUUGUUUUUUAAUUGUUAAGAAUUUUCUGUCUAGUUUAGAUAUAAGCCCUUUAUCAGACAUGUGUUUUGCAAAUAUUUUCUCCUAGUCUGUGGCUUGUAUUCUGUCUCUUAACACUCAUUUUAUUUUUACUUUUGGAACUAAAGAAGAAGAAUGGUCAGCUUUCCGUUAUUCUUGUAACAGUAAUGGCAGAACCAAGUCUGCUAAUGCUACAUUGAGCAAAGAAAGUCACCUGGUGAAGUCCAACAUUAAUGAAAUGGGGUAGUACAUGCAGGCGGCGUUGGGGGUGGGGAGGGAACAAAUGCUUCUUGAGAGUAAUAUAAUCUGCCAUACCAUCCAGGAACCUACAAUGGCUAUCUAUUACCUUAUUCUCUGGUUUGUUUAAUGUUCGAAUCUUUCCGAAAGAUCCUUCAACCUUUCUGGAAGAAUCUAAUCUGAUAACACCAUCAAAAACACAUUAAUUCUUUUGGCAUAAUUUAAAUUGUAAGACAUCAUUCACAUUUAUCAAUGUUACAUAUAUAAGAACUCACCCACCAUAUUCCUCCUUGAGGAAUUACAGCAUGUAAUUCUAUAACCAUUUUUAUAAUCGUCUAACAAUUUUAUAAUGGAUUGGUUGCUUACUAUCAAUUUUUUAAAAGUCAUGGCUUCUCCAGUCAUUUCUUGCUUAUCAAAAUUAUUUCAUGAGAUGGGUCUCUCCUUGUAUAUUUGAAAAUGAGGUUUGCUUCCUUCUACUUAAAAAACAACUUGAACAUACCUGUUUGGAUCACAUGGUCUUGUCCUGAUAACUUGGAAGAGGUUGCUUCAGCAUUGUUCUUAUUGUUGCGGUGGUGAUUAUUAACAUUGUUUCAUAUUCCGCUUAAAAAAUUAAAAUUUUACACGAGACCAAUGUCUUUUCAAUUCCAGUACAGUCUUCAGAAGUAACUAAUGCUAUUGGCUUUGUGCAUUGUAAUUUCAGACCAUUGUAUAUGUCUUUAGUUAUAUGUACAGUAUACACACAUAUGUGUCAUAUUAUUCCAUUUUUUCUAGCAUUAAACAUUGCUGUGGAAAACUCUCAGAAAAAUAUUUAUUUGAACAGAACUUUUUCUUUUCUCAGAUGUACCCUCCUUAGGAAUCUUUCUUUGAUCCUUGAAGUUUGGUAACAACUUUAAAUAUGUGUAUCCCAGCUGGGAGCAGCGGCUCACACCUGUAAUUUCAGCACUUUGGGAGGCCGAGGAGGGUGGAUCACCUGAGGUCAGGAGUUUGCCUGGCCAACAUGGUGAAACCCCGUCUUUACUGAAAAUACAAAAAGUUAGCCAGGUGUGGUGACUGGCACCUGUAAUCCCAGCUACAUGGGAGGCUGAGGCA
rnacentral:lncRNA from 1 species